GUAGGUGGCAAGCGUUGUCCGGAAUUAUUGGGCGUAAAGCGCGCGCAGGCGGUCCUUUAAGUCUGAUGUGAAAGCCCACGGGCUCAACCGUGGAGGGUCAUUGGAAACUGAGGGACUUGAGUACAGAAGAGGAAAGCGGAAUUCCAUGUGUAGCGGUGAAAUGCGUAGAGAUGUGGAGGAACACCAGUGGCGAAGGCGGCUUUCUGGUCUGUAACUGACGCUGAGGCGCGAAAGCGUGGGGAGCAAACAGGAUUAGAUACCCUGGUAGUCCACGCCGUAAACGAUGAGUGCUAAGUGUUAGGGGAUUUCCACCCCUUAAUACUGCAGCUAACGCAUUAAGCACUCCGCCUGGGGAGUACGACCGCAAGGUUG
rnacentral:rRNA from 1 species